GUGCUUGCUUUGGCAGUACAUACACUAAAAUUGGAACAAUACAGAGAAGAUUAGCAUGGCUCCUGCACAAGAAUGACAUGUAUAAUCGUGAGUGUUCAAUACUGCCU